rnacentral:lncRNA from 1 species
GGAGGGACCUGGAGGGACGUGAGUGAAUCACGGGAAGGGGUUUGGAGGGACCUGGAAGGAGGAUCAACACUUAAAGGUGACUCUUUGUGGCAAGGCAGGAAUUCGGGAUGGGGCUGGCGGUGAGUGGACUCGGAGCCCUUGGACACCGGCUGUUCUUGCCUCCACGCCCGUGGUUCAGAGUACACGGGUGGAUCUCCAUGCCAUGGUUCAGAGACACGGGUGGAUCUCCAUGCCGUGGUUCAGAGCAUGCGGGUGGAUCUCCACGCCAUGGUUCAGAGACACGGGUGGAUCUCCACGCCAUGGUUCAGAGUACACGGGCGGAUCUCCAUGCUGUGGUUCAGAGACAUGGGUGGAUCUCCACGCUGCGGUUCAGAGACACGGGUGGAUCUCCACGCUGCGGUUCAGAGACAGGGGUGGAUCUCCACGCUGCGGUUCAGAGACGGGUGGAUCUCCACGCUGCGGUUCAGAGACGGGUGGAUCUCCACGCUGCGGUUCAGAGACACGGGUGGAUCUCCACGCCGUGGUUCAGAGCACGCAGGCGGAUCUCCACGCAGUGGUUCAGAGACACAGGUGGAUCUCCACGCCAUGGUUCAGAGACACGGGCGGAUCUCCAUGCCGUGGUUCAGAGCACGCGGGCAGAUCCCACACCUGCUUCGUGUAGCUCGGUUUCUGAAAUGUUCCAAGAAGACAACAUUCAGAUGGUUUUAAACUGUGCACAGUAUCGAUGCUGUGACCGGCUGUGCUCCACUGUAAGAUGUGGAAAGGGCUGCCAAGUGAGCAGAUAUAACUUCCCAGAUAAGCCACCCAAAGUGUUUCUGAGAACUGCUCGCUGUGUUGAAAAACAACUUCGGGAAAGAAACUUCAUCUGCCGAAGUCGACGUGCCUCGUCCUUGGACAAUUUGUGAAGUUCAGUGAUUCUCAGGGCUGAUUUUGUAGGGACUGUCCAUCCUGGAACCGUGGAGGAUCUUCUGUGGAGGCUCGGUGGGCG